rnacentral:rRNA from 1 species
GAUGAACGCUGGCGGCGUGCCUAAUACAUGCAAGUCGAGCGAACAGAUAAGGAGCUUGCUCCUUUGACGUUAGCGGCGGACGGGUGAGUAACACGUGGGUAACCUACCUAUAAGACUGGAAUAACUCCGGGAAACCGGGGCUAAUGCAGGAUAACAUGUUGAACCGCAUGGUUCUACAGUGAAAGGCGGCUUUGCUGUCACUUAUAGAUGGACCCGCGCCGUAUUAGCUAGUUGGUGAGGUAACGGCUCACCAAGGCAACGAUACGUAGCCGACCUGAGAGGGUGAUCGGCCACACUGGAACUGAGACACGGUCCAGACUCCUACGGGAGGCAGCAGUAGGGAAUCUUCCGCAAUGGGCGAAAGCCUGACGGAGCAACGCCGCGUGAGUGAUGAAGGUCUUCGGAUCGUAAAACUCUGUUAUUAGGGAAGAACAAAUGCGUAAGUAACUGUUCGCGUCUUGACGUUACCUAAUCAGAAAGCCACGGCUAACUACGUG